UACAGAGGGGGCAAGCGUUGUUCGGAAUUACUGGGCGUAAAGGGCGCGUAGGCGGCCUGCUAAGUCGAACGUGAAAUCCCUAGGCUCAACCUAGGAACUGCGUCCGAUACUGGCAGGCUUGAAUCCGGGAGAGGGAUGCAGAAUUCCAGGUGUAGCGGUGAAAUGCGUAGAUAUCUGGAGGAAUACCGGUGGCGAAGGCGGCAUCCUGGACCGGCAUUGACGCUGAUGCGCGAAAGCCAGGGGAGCAAACGGG
rnacentral:rRNA from 1 species